CGUAUCACUUAAAGCGAUUCAGCGGGUUACGAUUGACGGAGCGAAGCGACGUCAAAGCGUAUACAAAGUCGAGUCGGUUUAAGGAUACGUUCGUUGGGUAGGGGAGCGUUCUGUAAGCCUGUGAAGGUGUGUCGUGAGGCAUGCUGGAGGUAUCAGAAGUGCGAAUGCUGACAUAAGUAACGAUAAAGCGGGUGAAAAGCCCGCUCGCCGGAAGACCAAGGGUUCCUGUCCAACGUUAAUCGGGGCAGGGUGAGUCGACCCCUAAGGCGAGGCCGAAAGGCGUAGUCGAUGGGAAACGGGUUAAUAUUCCCGUACUUGGUGUUACUGCGAAGGGGGGACGGAGAAGGCUAUGUUGGCCGGGCGACGGUUGUCCCGGUUUAAGCGUGUAGGUGUGUGUUCCAGGUAAAUCCGGUUCACUUUAACACUGAGGCGUGACGACGAGGCACUACGGUGCUGAAGCAACAAAUGCCCUGCUUCCAGGAAAAGCCUCUAAGCAUCAGGUAACAUCAAAUCGUACCCCAAACCGACACAGGUGGUCAGGUAGAGAAUACCAAGGCGCUUGAGAGAACUCGGGUGAAGGAACUAGGCAAAAUGGUGCCGUAACUUCGGGAGAAGGCACGCUGACACGUAGGUGAAGUGAUUUACUCAUGGAGCUGAAGUCAGUCGAAGAUACCAGCUGGCUGCAACUGUUUAUUAAAAACACAGCACUGUGCAAACACGAAAGUGGACGUAUACGGUGUGACGCCUGCCCGGUGCCGGAAGGUUAAUUGAUGGGGUCAGCGCAAGCGAAGCUCCUGAUCGAAGCCCCGGUAAACGGCGGCCGUAACUAUAACGGUCCUAAGGUAGCGAAAUUCCUUGUCGGGUAAGUUCCGACCUGCACGAAUGGCGUAAUGAUGGCCAGGCUGUCUCCACCCGAGACUCAGUGAAAUUGAACUCGCUGUGAAGAUGCAGUGUACCCGCGGCAAGACGGAAAGACCCCGUGAACCUUUACUAUAGCUUGACACUGAACAUUGAGCCUUGAUGUGUAG
rnacentral:rRNA from 2 species